GUCAUGAUGCCCGAGUGGUUAAGGGGAUGGACUUGAAAUCCAUUGCGGAGACGCGCGCAGGUUCAAAUCCUGUUCAUGACG
rfam:Coccomyxa subellipsoidea C-169, whole genome shotgun sequence.